rnacentral:tRNA from 1 species
GCCCCCAUCGUCUAGGGGACUAGGACGCAGCCCUUUCAAGGCUAAAACGGGGGUUCGAAUCCCCCUGGGGGCACCA